CCUACGGGAGGCAGCAGUAGGGAAUCUUCCACAAUGGGCGAAAGCCUGAUGGAGCAACGCCGCGUGGGUGAAGAAGGUCUUCGGAUCGUAAAACCCUGUUGUUAGAGAAGAAAGUGCGUGAGAGUAACUGUUCACGUUUCGACGGUAUCUAACCAGAAAGCCACGGCUAACUACGUGCCAGCAGCCGCGGUAAUACGUAGGUGGCAAGCGUUAUCCGGAAUUAUUGGGCGUAAAGGGCACGCAGGCGGUCUUUUAAGUCUGAUGUGAAAGCCUACGGCUUAACCGGGGUAGUGCAUUGGAAACUGGAAGACUUGAGUGCAGAAGAGGAGAGUGGAAUUCCAUGUGUAGCGGUGAAAUGCGCAGAUAUAUGGAGGAACACCAGGGGCGAAGGCGACUCUCUGGUCUGUAACUGACGCUGAGGUUCGAAAGCGUGGGGAGCAAACAGGAUUAGAUACCCUGGUAGUC
rnacentral:rRNA from 1 species